rnacentral:rRNA from 1 species
GACGUAGGGCGCGAGCGUUGUCCGGAUUUAUUGGGCGUAAAGAGCUCGUAGGCGGCUUUGUAAGUUAGAGGUGAAAGCCCGGGGCUCAACUCCGGAAUUGCCUUUAAGACUGCAUCGCUAGAAUUGUGGAGAGGUAAGUGGAAUUCCGAGUGUAGAGGUGAAAUUCGUAGAUAUUCGGAAGAACACCAGUGGCGAAGGCGGCCGACUGGUCCGGUUCGUGACGCUGAGGCGCGAAAGCGUGGGGAGCAAACAGG